rnacentral:rRNA from 1 species
AUUGAACGCUGGCGGCAGGCUUAACACAUGCAAGUCGAGCGGGGUGAUGGUGCUUGCGCUAUCACUUAGCGGCGGACGGGUGAGUAAUGCUUAGGAAUCUGCCUAUUAGUGGGGGACAACAUCUCGAAAGGGAUGCUAAUACCGCAUACGUCCUACGGGAGAAAGCAGGGGAUCACUUGUGACCUUGCGCUAAUAGAUGAGCCUAAGUCGGAUUAGCUAGUCGGUGGGGUAAAGGCCUACCAAGGCGACGAUCUGUAGCGGGUCUGAGAGGAUGAUCCGCCACACUGGGACUGAGACACGGCCCAGACUCCUACGGGAGGCAGCAGUGGGGAAUAUUGGACAAUGGGGGGAACCCUGAUCCAGCCAUGCCGCGUGUGUGAAGAAGGCCUUAUGGUUGUAAAGCACUUUAAGCGAGGAGGAGGCUCUUUUGGUUAAUGCCCAAGAUGAGUGGACGUUACUCGCAGAAUAAGCACCGGCUAACUCUGUGCCAGCCGCCGCCGUAA